rnacentral:rRNA from 1 species
UUAGUGGCAGACGGGUGAGUAAUGCAUAGGGAUCUACCUAGUAGUAUGGGAUAGCCACUAGAAAUGGUGGGUAAUACUGUAUAAUCCCCGCGGGGGAAAGAUUUAUCGCUAUUAGAUGAGCCUAUGUUAGAUUAGCUAGUUGGUGGGGUAAAGGCCUACCAAGGCGAUGAUCUAUAGCUGGUCUGAGAGGAUGAUCAGCCACACUGGAACUGAGAUACGGUCCAGACUCCUACGGGAGGCAGCAGUGGGGAAUAUUGGACAAUGGGCGCAAGCCUGAUCCAGCUAUGCCGCGUGAGUGAGGAAGGCCCUAGGGUUGUAAAACUCUUUCAGUAGGGAAGAUAAUGACGGUACC